AAACGACUCUCGGCAACGGAUAUCUCGGCUCUCGCAUCGAUGAAGAACGUAGCGAAAUGCGAUACUUGGUGUGAAUUGCAGAAUCCCGUGAACCAUCGAGUCUUUGAACGCAAGUUGCGCCCGAAGCCAUUAGGUUGAGGGCACGUCUGCCUGGGCGUCU
rnacentral:rRNA from 1 species